GAGACAUUGGUGUAGCAGUUAGCACGGCAGUCUGUGGAACUGCCAGCAGGGGUGCAAAUCCCCUAUGUCUCC
rnacentral:tRNA from 1 species